CCUACGGGUGGCAGCAGUGAGGAAUAUUGGUCAAUGGACGAGAGUCUGAACCAGCCAAGUAGCGUGAAGGAUGACUGCCCUAUGGGUUGUAAACUUCCUUUAUAUGGGAAUAAAAUGUUCCACGUGUGGGAUUUUGUAUGUACCAUAUGAAUAAGGAUCGGCUAACUCCGUGCCAGCAGCCGCGGUAAUACGGAGGAUCCGAGCGUUAUCCGGAUUUAUUGGGUUUAAAGGGAGCGUAGGUGGAUUGUUAAGUCAGUUGUGAAAGUUUGCUGCUCAACCGUAAAAUUGCAGUUGAAACUGGCAGUCUUGAGUACAGGAGAGGUGGGCGGAAGUCGUGGUGUAGCGGUGAAAUGCUUAGAUAUCACGAAGAACACCGAUGGCGAAGGCAGUUCACUGGACUGCAACUGACACUGAGGCUCGAAAGUGUGGGUAUCAAACAGGAUUAGAUACCCUUGUAGUC
rnacentral:rRNA from 1 species